rnacentral:rRNA from 1 species
GGGGUAAUGGCCUACCAAGGCGACGACGGGUAGCCGGCCUGAGAGGGUGACCGGCCACACUGGGACUGAGACACGGCCCAGACUCCUACGGGAGGCAGCAGUGGGGAAUAUUGCACAAUGGGCGGAAGCCUGAUGCAGCGACGCCGCGUGCGGGAUGACGGCCUUCGGGUUGUAAACCGCUUUCAGUAGGGACGAAGCUUUUGUGACGGUACCUACAGAAGAAGCACCGGCUAACUACGUGCCAGCAGCCGCGGUAAUACGUAGGGUGCGAGCGUUGUCCGGAAUUAUUGGGCGUAAAGAGCUUGUAGGCGGUUUGUCGCGUCUGCUGUGAAAGCCCGGGGCUUAACCCUGGGUCUGCAGUGGGUACGGGCAGGCUAGAGUGUGGUAGGGGAGACUGGAAUUCCUGGUGUAGCGGUGGAAUGCGCAGAUAUCAGGAGGAACGCCGAUGGCGAAGGCAGGUCUCUGGGCCAUUACUGACGCUGAGAAGCGAAAGCGUGGGGAGCGAACAGGAUUAGAUACCCUGGUAGUCCACGCCGUAAACGUUGGGCGCUAGGUGUGGGUCCCAUUCCACGGGGUCCGUGCCGCAGCUAACGCAUUAAGCGCCCCGCCUGGGGAG